ensembl:lncRNA
UAGACACAUGCUGGGGUUGACAAGUCUGUUGGGAGACAAGUGACAGGAGGAAGAAGGAAAGGUCAGAGAAUCAAAUGUAGUGAGCUUGAGACAGGCAGACAAGGAGAAGCCUUACAGGCUGCUUUAGGCAAAUCUCAGACGUUAGGAGCAGUAGGAAAGGAGGAAGAAGUAGAGGAGAGAGUACCCUGUAUGAAGAGGGUCAGAAUCAGGAUCUGGGUGAGAACACACCAGGGUCCAGGAAGAGUGCUUGGGACUCCUAAGUCUCUUAACACCUUCCUCAGCCUCAGAACAAGCCUAUGGAGGACAAUAUCCUAAUCUUCAGAAAGAAGAAAUAGAUGCCCAGAGAAUACCACAAACCUACCCACGGUCACACACGGGAAGCUGCCGAGGGGGCUGAUGGCAGGGCUGUGGGCUUUGGCCAGCCUCGCCUCAGAAGCCCCUGCAGUGACGUGCAGCUGCGAUCGUGGCUGUCCCAGCUGAAGGAUUCUCUCCGCGGAGCCCACUGCCCUGUCCUGCGGCUGAGGACUUUCCAGGUGGCGCUAGUGGUGGAGAACCUGCCUGCCAGUGCAGGAGACAUAAGAGAUGAGUGUUCGAUCCUUGGGUUGGAAAGAUCCCUUGGAGAACGGAAAGACUACUCACUCCAGUAUUCUUGCCUGGAGAAUCCCAUGGACAGAGGAGCCUGGUGGGCUACAGUCCAUUGUGUUGCAGAGGUGGACAUGACUGAAGCGACUUAGCAUGCAUGCAUGCAUCUGACUUACUUAACAUUGUAUGAUAACCUCUUGGCUUGUUCAUGUUUCUGAAAUAAUCUUUGCCUUAUUCUUUAUCUCAGGGGGAAAAGGACUUACUAUUUCAUUAUUAAGUAUGAUGUUAGUUGUCGAUUUUUCACAGAUGUCUUUUUAUUGGAUUGAGAAAGUUUUCUUCUAUUUCUAGAUUUCUGUUUUUAUUACAAAUGAGUAUUGAAUUUCAUCAAAUGGCUUUUCAGCAUUUAUUGAGAUGAUUUUCUGCUUUGUUGUGUUAAUGUGGAGAACUGCCUCUGCCAACUUGGUGUAUGUAUAUACAUAUAAGCAUGCAUUUGGUUGUUUGAUUUGAUAAUGAUCUGUAAAGAUUUUUGUGAGUG